AGAGAGAGAUUAAUUUUAAAGAUGGUUUAGUCUUUGAUUCGCUGUUGUUCGUUAGAAGAGAGCGGACGAAGUAAAGGGAAAAAUAACUCAGUAUCCAACAAAGUUGUACGAAUACCAUCGUAAUUACUUUGGUAAGGUCGGAUUUGGUUAAUAAAAGGAAUGCCUAGAAUGAUAUCUUCUGUGAUAUCUUCAGUGAUGACAAAGUCAUUGAUAAGGCAAACGCCAUUAUUGCAGACGUGAGCUUUACGAAGUUGAUAAUCAAUUCGCAUCUUUUCGCCUGUGGCAGAAUAAAGUCGUGAGGUACUCUUCUGGAGAUACCGAGUGGGUAUAAGGCCUUUGACAAUACAGUUAGUAUCUACCCCGGUGUCAAAAAGAGCGACUUUGUUUAUGACAAAGUCUUUGUCAAUGACGAUGUUAACGACUAUGUGUUCACUGUAGGCCUUGAUGGCUGCUAC
rnacentral:lncRNA from 1 species